GGUGAUAGUGGGGAACCCAUAGGAGUGCCGAAGAUCUGUUCAUAAAAACAGAUGUCCACCCAACGCUUUCUUAUGGCAUUCUCAACUAAUUCUUUUGGAACGUUGGUGAAUAGAGAAGCAACAUCCAAUGAAAUCAUUAUGUUAUCUUCUUCAAUGCAAGUGUUCUUAAUGCUGUCAACAAAGGACCAUCCAUCUUUAAUAUUAUAUACUUGAUAAGGACCACAA